CGAUUCAAGAUGGCGGCAAAAGUGGUCAGCAGCAGCAGCGCUCAGGGAAGCACAGAGCGAGAGGAGGGAGGCUCUGGUGUAUCCUACGCUAGCGUGGUCAAUCCCAAAGCAGCCUCGAACGAGACUAAUACCGCUAGAGUAGUUUCCUCGAAUAAAGGAAAUAAUAAAGAAAAUAUAGGAGGCCAAAUUGCGAGCCAACAAUCCAAUGGAACUAAAGAGCGUAUGGUUUCCCAAAAUUAUGCUGCCAAAGGUAAAUCGUAUCAGAGGACUGGAAGACGAUUUGCCUCAUCCACGCAACCACAGCAAACGCAGCAACUUAGAGUAGAUAAAAGUCACAACGAGUUACAAUUAGGUAGCAACGUAUCGGACAAAUCUUCUACGAUUAAAGAAACCGAGCAACGAUCUCAACCUCAAGCAGAUGUAAGUACUGCGCCAAUAUUAAAGCAAGAUAAAUUAAAUAAUGGGGAUAUUGGAAGCGACGGAGAGUUUCAAACCGUUGCUCCUAAGAGUGCUCGGAGGAAAGAAAAAUUAAGAGAACACCAACAAAAAGAUCACGGAGAUCGCCAUCGGCAUAAGGAUCACAGAAAAAGAUUGCGCGGACUUAGCGACUCUAGUAGAGAAAGAAUGACAAAGGACAAAGAACGAACCGAUAGAAAUAGCACGGAACACGCUAUUAACAAUAAAGAAAUUAAUAAAGACAAGGAUACUAAAGAAGACGGUCAAGCCCAAACACCUGCCCCGAUGAAGUAUGUAGCGGCUCCCAUACCUGCGGUCAAUGCUUGGACUAAAAAGAAGCCUCUUCAAUCCUCCGUUCAACAAUCCGUAACUACUCCUAGCGCUAUGGACAAACCAGUUACAAAAGAGAAAAGAAUAUUACAACCUCAGCAACAGCGAGUACAAGGGUUAAUAGAAAAUGGAUCAUCGAUCUCCGCCGAAUCGUCGAAACCAGCGAUAAUUAAAGUUAGCAAAGAAAAGAAGAAGAUUAAUGCAAAGGCGAGCGAUUUUACGGAUAUCGGAGAUUGGCCAACGUUGGGACCUCAAGACAAAAAGACGACUGCUGUGACAAUUCAAAAACAAAAUGGCGUUACCGAGCCAAGUAAUACUAAAGAAAUUAGUGGCCACUCGAUUGAAAUAAAAUCCAAAGAAAAUAAAGAGCAGCAGCACAAUCAUUGCCAAGACGACAGCGAUGAGCUCACGGAUAACGGUAAUGAUAAAAGAAGAAAGUUUAAUAAACAGAAAUGGGUUCCCCUCGACAUAGAUAUCACAAAAAAUAGAGGGAAGAGGGAACGUUCGCCGAGAUACAACCCAAGAGAUAGAUACAACGAAGAUGGAGAAGCCUGGAGAGAUAAAGAAUACGAUAGUAGGUCAGGAUCCAGUAUUAGGGGUGGCUCGUAUACACGAGGUGGCCGAAGUUUUAGGGGUAGAGGACGCGGUGGACGCGGUAGCGCUACGCCUCGUAAUAAUUUUAGGCAUAGAUACGAUAACGAUUAUUCUAAUUAUGACGUAGAUUACGUGAAAUACGAGAAUCAAGAUUUAAAUCAAGAUAAAUCGAGAUAUAUAGCGCCGGCAUACGCAGAAGAAGCGAUGUUUUACGAAAAUAAUUAUAUUCAACAGGACUCCUCCAUUUUUAUGGAAGAAUUAAAAGAAUUAAUAAGAAAACAAAUAGAAUACUACUUCAGCGAAGAGAAUCUAAUAAGUGACAUUUAUUUGAGACGUAAAAUGGAUGAAGAAGGAUUCUUGCCCAUUACGUUGAUAGCAUCCUUUCGUCGGAUUCAAAGCAUGACGGAGGAUUUGAGCUUAGUGAUCAAUUCUAUUACGAAAUCGGAUAAAUUGGAAUUGGUUCAAGGAUACAUGAUAAGAACCAGAAUCGAUCCAUUGAGGUGGCCUUUACCGGAUAUAAUUAGCAAUUCAACUUGUACUGAUACGCAAAACGAAAAUAUGAACGAGUCUGAAUUUUAUCCUUGUUCGAAAUCCAUGAUAUCGGUCACGCGUCCGCCUGCACCUCAGCAAAUCUAUCGAUCUUGUUACCAAUCACGAUCGACAAUAGGAAGAGUAAACGAAUUAGAAAAUACCUUAGUGACUACGGGGGGUGAUAGUCUCAAUCCGAAUGUGCCUGAAUUUGUACCCGUAGACAUUUCGAGUAAACUGAUUGCGAGUAAACAAGUCGAUCUAGAGGAAAUUGAUCAACCGCCGACGAACAUUGAAAUGAUCGAUAAAACGGUCGCUGAAAUAGUCGAUGAAGUACCAAUAAAUUCUAUGCUUUUUGGGCCGUCGAGUAAUGAAGAAUUGUCUCUGCCAUCGACUAACGAAUCCAAUAGCAGCGAAUCGACGAUCAUUUUGAACGAUAAAACGCGUACCGAGGAUUCUACUUUAGAGAAAGUACAAAUCAACGAUGAAAAGGCACCAUCGUCUUCCUUCAAAUCCGAUAACACUUGGAAAGAGGUCAAAAGAAGAACAAAGCAUUCACAUAAAGAUGGAGUAAAAGGAUCCGAGGAAAAAGGAAAAGUUAAUAGUGGUAUUCGUAAGAAUGAGCAACGAGAGGAAUUAGAAUUCCAAUUUGACGAAGAAUUGGAUACACCACCUCCAACUGGACGGCACAAUGCUUUUUCCGAAUGGUCGGAGGACGAGGAAGAAGAUAACGAAUUAUCGGACAGAGAUAUUAACAAAUUGUUAAUAGUUACGCAAAUGACUGUUCCCAAUUCAUCGAGAUUACCUAAACACGAAGGGUAUGAUCGUACCGGUGAUUGGACAACUAGAGUCAAAAUGACUCAGGAUCUCGAACAAGCGAUCAAUGAUGGAUUGCGUUAUUACGAAAAGGGUUUAUGGAGUGGAGAUGGGCAAAGGUAUGGAUCGUCAUCCUCUAUUAACAAUUACAAGACCGUCAAUGUAAUCAGUCAAGAGGAUUUUGAAAAAAUGGCACCGAAACCUCCAAGAAAAGCCAAUCCCGAAGUUCCGCCACCGCCACCGUCUGCCGUUGAGGAAGACGACUUGGAUAUUUCGCAGUCUCCUCCGAUUCGAGUUCCUACUUCUUCGGAUAGCUCGAAUAAAAGGGAAAAAAUGAAUGAGAAAAAUUAUUGGAACGAUCAAGCGAAAAAUGAUAUAAAUGAAAGACGUGGUACAGUUCCAAGAUUCUUUGCAGUCGUGAAAGACGAAUCAUCGGUUGAUUUGAGAACGCCGCGUAAACGAAAGACUCGACACAGUAAUAAUCCUCCCGUUGAACAUCACGUUGGUUGGAUAAUGGACGUUAGGGAACAUCGUCCGCGUACUUACUCCACUGGAAGUAGUACUGGAACGAGUCCUAGCGAGGCCUUCAUCGCCGGUAGCGUUCCUCAAUCUUUGCCGACAUUCCAACAUCCGAGUCACGCCCUGUUGAAAGAAAAAGGAUUUACUCAACAGGUCUAUCACAAAUAUCACUCGCGCUGUUUAAAAGAACGGAAAAGAUUAGGGAUCGGACAAUCUCAAGAAAUGAAUACUCUGUUUCGCUUCUGGUCCUUCUUCUUGCGACAAAACUUUAAUCGUGCCAUGUACGAGGAAUUUAGAAAUUUAGCCAAAGAAGAUGCCUUAGAGGGUUACCGUUAUGGACUCGAGUGUCUAUUUCGAUUUUAUAGUUACGGUCUGGAGAUCAAAUUCAGAUCUAUGCUGUAUCAAGAUUUUCAAUUAGAGACGAUAGAUGAUUACGAGCGUGGUCAAUUGUAUGGCUUAGAGAAGUUUUGGGCUUUCUUAAAAUAUUAUAAAAAUUCUGCCAAUCUUUACAUCGAUUCGCAAUUACAAGAAUAUCUGUCCAAAUUCAAUAGCAUCGAGGACUUUAGAGUCGAAGAGCCUCAAAUUAAUGAGAUGCUUCAAGGAUUUUCGAUAAAUGCUCGACCACUCGGAUCGAAAAAACGUAAUAGAAGCCUUUCCGAGAGUGGAAGUGGAUAUUUAAGCGUAGGUGCAGUUGCAGUCCCAGGUGCAAGUGGAAGUGCAAGUGGGAGUAGUGUCGUCGAUAGUGCUUCGAUAAGACGAAACUCUGGUGAUUCUUGUGCUGCGGUUACGUUAGCAACAACUUCUAAUGCCGCCGAUGCUACCAACAAUCAAAAGACGCGCAUGGACAUGGAUAAUAAUUCAUCGCAUGUUCGUAGUAGAGCGUGUUCUUUUGGUUCUGGAAGGAUGGGACAUUCAAGACGAAAGAAUGAUUCAGGUGCAUCGUCGAAUAGUAGUCAGCGUGAAGUAAAUAAUAAGCAGCAUCAAACGAGAAGUAGACCAAAUUCUUGUUCUCUCUCUAAUAAGUCUUACGAGACGAGUAAAGUUUUAAGCACUGCCAAAAAUCAAUCUAUUAACAAGAACGAACAGAAGCCUUGAACUUGAAAUACUUCAUCGUCGAUGCAUUAGAGAUGAUCAAUUUAUUUAUAACCGUAUCUAUGAAGCAUCAUUUUUCUACCGAAACAUCGAUGAAGGAAAAGAGAUACGAGAACUUUGACGGUUCGUUGCUAAGCCAACCAAGGAACGUGCUGUGAAAAAUAUAACCGAUGAAAGGUGCCGCGGCGCAAUUUUGAUGAAACUUUCGCUUGUAAAUAUUUUUGCCGAACCGUUAUUAUUAUAUAUUGCGUAUAUGCCUUUCUUGUGUUAAAUUGACUAAUACGAAUUAAAAUGAAAAA
rnacentral:misc_RNA from 1 species